rnacentral:rRNA from 1 species
UACGUAGGUGGCAAGCGUUGUCCGGAUUUAUUGGGUUUAAAGGGUGCGUAGGCGGUCUUCUAAGUCAGUUGUGAAAUACUUCAGCUUAACUGGAGAGGUGCAAUUGAUACUGGAAGACUUGAGUACUGAUGAGGUAGGCGGAAUGGACGGUGUAGCGGUGAAAUGCUUAGAUAUCGUCCAGAACACCGAUAGCGAAGGCAGCUUACUACAGGAAUAUUGACACUGAUGCACGAAAAGCGUGGGGAUCAAACAGG